rnacentral:rRNA from 1 species
AGUGGGGAAUAUUGGACAAUGGGCGAAAGCCUGAUCCAGCAAUGCCGCGUGAGUGAAGAAGGCCUUAGGGUUGUAAAACUCUUUCAGUCGUGACGAUGAUGACGGUAGCGACAGAAGAAGCUCCGGCUAACUCCGUGCCAGCAGCCGCGGUAAUACGGAGGGGGCUAGCGUUGUUCGGAAUUACUGGGCGUAAAGCGCACGUAGGCGGUUUAUCAAGUUAGGCGUGAAAGCCCUGGGCUUAACCCAGGAACUGCGUUUAAUACUGGUAAACUUGAGUCCGGGAGAGGGUAGUGGAAUUCCCAGUGUAGAGGUGAAAUUCGUAGAUAUUGGGAAGAACACCAGUUGCGAAGGCGGCUACCUGGCCCGGUACUGACGCUGAGGUGCGAAAGCGUGGGGAGCGAACAGGAUUAGAUACCCUGGUAGUCCACGCCGUAAACGAUGGGUGCUAGUUGUUGGGGCCUCAGGUCUCAGUGACGUAGCUAACGCGUUAAGCACCCCGCCGGGAGAC